UUAAAAUAAAUUGUCAAAAUUUGACACAGAAUACAAAGGGGCCAACAAACAAGACGCAGGAAAUGGAGUUGCAACAAUAUAGAUAUCUUUGGAUGGAAGGAAACUAAUUUAGUUGUGUUUCCAUCUUCGUAAGGAUACUUGUAAUUUCUAUUAGAAGAUACAUGUAGAUGCAACACCUUGUACUCCCUGAUAGCUCUAUCCUAAACAUCAGAGGAUUUCAUUCGCAUGGAACUGUUAGCAUUACGUGGUAUCAAAUGACAUUUUACGAGGCAUUUGCCCAAUCGCCUCCAAUGGAAGAAAGAAAAGUACCAUAUAGUUCCAAUUGCCUUACUUUCAUCUACUAACCUGCCAUAGAAUAAUCCCUAAUGCCUCUCACACCUAUGUAACUCAUUUAAAUAAGAUGCGGUCAUUUAAAUAAGAUGGUGAUCAUUCUUAAUGAAUAUAUAGAUGUUCUCAUCAUCAUUACUAGAGAAACUAGACAUGAGAGACUUGCAUUGGAAUGCAACUAUAUUUAUCUGUUAAAAAUCACUAAUGUGAUGGUGCUUCUGUAGCUCACUGGCACUGCAUUUAUCUUCUCCAAUUUCAGCACAUGCACUACCUCUAAUAUACUCAAUUUGAUUUUCCAUCCUUGCCUUUUUAUGAUAGAACCAUAUCCUCGUCGUGUCAUGCGCUCACAGGUCAUUGAUAUGACUGUACACAUAGCAAGCAUGUACACUACAUCUAAUGGACAGAUGAGUACUAGCGUGAUAGCAUACAUGUAUCAUUCUGUGCAAGUUAUUGGAGAUGUUAGUGUUAUGAUGAGGUCAAAAAUAAUAUGUUUGUGUUAAGAGUGCGUACACCCACCUCUAGGUUCCUGUCCUAGUUUGAAUUUGGACUCCUAUGUUAUUACUAUGCAUAAUACAUACUUGAGGCAGCAGUUCAGUUCCAUUUUUUAUGGAAAAAAUACAACGAAGUUCCCUAAAUUUUCAGUUAUAUUGAUCGUCGUCGUUAUUGCUAGAAAAAAACAUUACAAGGAUAUCUGCAAUGGUUAUUUAAAGUGAGCCUAAAUAUAUUAAAUGGAUUGGAAAUUUCCAAUAAUAUCAUGAUAACACACAUGUUAUAGUCUAAUCUCUUUUGUGGCAUUUGUCAAGCGUGAGCGAUGUACAUUCGUGAUCACUUCUCCUUGCAAAUGAAUGUACACUUGAUGAAGCAAAUCCUCC
rnacentral:lncRNA from 1 species